CGCCUGUUUAUCAAAAACAUCUCUUCUAGUAUGAUAUUAGAAGUAGGCCCUGCCCGGUGCCUUGCGAGGUAAACGGCGGUGUUAAACCUUAAAGUAGCGUGAUAAGUCGGCCUUUAAUUGGGGUCUGGUAUGAAAGGGUUGACGUCGGAAAAACUGUCUCGGAAGAACUAAGUGAAAUUUACUUUUAAGUGAAAAGGCUUAAAUUAAAGUAAAAGACGAGAAGACCCUGUCGAGCUUGAGGGAUUUGAAUGUUUAUUAAACGUAAUUAGGAGUUUGGCUGGGGCAGCAAUGGAGGUAGCCUCCGUUUUUAAUGCAAAGAUCCAUUAUACUUAGAAUAAUGAAAAAAGAAAAAAGCUACCGCAGGGAUAACAGCACAAGACCGCCUCAGAGGUCGUAUCGAAGGCGGUAAGUGUGACCUCGAUGUUGGAUUAGGGUAAACCUCUUUGUGCAGGAGCAAGGUGGGUAGGACUGUUCUUCCUUUAAUCCCCUACGUGAUCUGAGUUCAGACCGG
rnacentral:rRNA from 1 species